rnacentral:rRNA from 1 species
GACGAACGCUGGCGGCGUGCUUAACACAUGCAAGUCGAACGGUGAAGGGGAGCUUGCUCCCUGGAUCAGUGGCGAACGGGUGAGUAACACGUGGGCAACCUGCCCCAGACUUCGGGAUAACGCUUCGAAAGAGGUGCUAAUACCGGAUACGAACUCCUUGGGCAUCCUGGGAGUUGGAAAGUUUUUCGGUCUGGGAUGGGCCCGCGGCCUAUCAGCUUGUUGGUGAGGUAACGGCUCACCAAGGCGACGACGGGUAGCCGGCCUGAGAGGGCGACCGGCCACACUGGGACUGAGACACGGCCCAGACUCCUACGGGAGGCAGCAGUGGGGAAUAUUGCGCAAUGGGCGAAAGCCUGACGCAGCAACGCCGCGUGAGGGAUGACGGCCUUCGGGUUGUAAACCUCUUUCAGCAGGGAAGAAGCGAAAGUGACGGUACCUGCAGAAGAAGCACCGGCUAACUACGUGCCAGCAGCCGCCGUAACAC